GAGAGAAGCAGCGGCCGCCGCGGAAGGGUGGGGAGUUGCGCACGAGAGAGGCGCUCCAAAGGCUGAGCAGCUCCAGGGAUGCCUGCGGGGGCAGAAGGUAGCGCAGGCUUCCCGCCCUUUUGCACUGGCAGAGGUUUGCACAGAAGGACCUUAUUGAGGCCAACGGAUCUUGUCCAUGGAUUUCUCCUCUACGAAAGACCAGAGAAUUCUACUGUCUGCUGGUACACUUGGAGCCUGAUCACCUAUCCCUGAUGUUAUGAUAAUACAAAUAAUAAGAAUGAUAGCAACAGCUUUUUGGAUGGACUGAAAAGGAGCAAGAAAAGCAGUAGAUGGACCAGAGAGGAGGCGGUUUCAAUACUGAAGGACCCCUGCCUCAUUCCAUGCACAGGAAUGAUGUUGGCGUCAUGUGUCCAUGGAGCCUACCCUCACCCCACGUCAUUGGACCACAUUAUUUUUGGGAAGCCACCAGGUAACAAUUCAAAG